rnacentral:rRNA from 1 species
UACAGAGGGGGCAAGCGUUGUUCGGAAUUACUGGGCGUAAAGGGCGCGUAGGUGGCCUUCUAAGUUGAACGUGAAAUCCCCGGGCUUAACCUGGGAACUGCAUUUGUGACUGGCGAGCUAGAGUAUGGCAGAGGGGGGUAGAAUUCCACGUGUAGCAGUGAAAUGCGUAGAUAUGUGGAGGAACACCGAUGGCGAAGGCAGCCCCUGGGAUAACACUGACGCUCAUGCACGAAAGCGUGGGGACAAACGAGG